CCUACGGGAGGCAGCAGUGAGGAAUAUUGGUCAAUGGGCGUAAGCCUGAACCAGCCAAGUCGCGGGAGGGAUGAAGGUUCUAUGGAUCGUAAACCUCUUGUAUAAGGGAAUAAAGUGUGGGACGUGUCCUGUUUUGUAUGUACCUUAUGAAUAAGGAUCGGCUAACUCGGUGCCAGCAGCCGCGGUAAUACGGAGGAUCCGAGCGUUAUCCGGAUUUAUUGGGUUUAAAGGGUGCGUAGGCGGCCUUUUAAGUCAGCGGUGAAAGUCUGUGGCUCAACCAUAGAAUUGCCGUUGAAACUGGGAGGCUUGAGUAUGUUUGAGGCAGGCGGAAUGCGUGGUGUAGCGGUGAAAUGCUUAGAUAUCACGCAGAACCCCGAUUGCGAAGGCAGCCUGCCAAGCCAUGACUGACGCUGAUGCACGAAAGCGUGGGGAUCAAACAGGAUUAGAUACCCCUGUAGUC
rnacentral:rRNA from 1 species